UAACACAUGCAAGUCGAGCGAGGAGAUCCUUCGGGAUGAUCCUAGCGGCGGACGGGUGAGUAACACGUGGGCAACCUGCCUCAUAGAGAGGAAUAGCCUUCCGAAAGGGAGAUUAAUACCUCAUAACAUUGCAGUUUCGCAUGGAACAGCAAUUAAAGGAGUAAUCCGCUAUGAGAUGGGCCCGCGGCGCAUUAGCUAGUUGGUGAGGUAACGGCUCACCAAGGCGACGACGCGUAGCCGACCUGAGAGGGUGAUCGGCCACAUUGGGACUGAGACACGGCCCAGACUCCUACGGGAGGCAGCAGUGGGGAAUAUUGCACAAUGGGGGAAACCCUGAUGCAAGCAACGCCGCGUGAGUGAUGACGGCCUUCGGGUUGUAAAGCUCUGUCUUCAGGGACGAUAAUGACGGUACCUGAGGAGGAAGCCACGGCUAACUACGUGCCAGCCGCUGC
rnacentral:rRNA from 1 species